rnacentral:rRNA from 1 species
UUUGUAGUUUCGCUCACACGCGACGACGGGUAGCCGGCCUGAGAGGGCGACCGGCCACACUGGGACUGAGACACGGCCCAGACUCCUACGGGAGGCAGCAGUGGGGAAUAUUGCACAAUGGGCGAAAGCCUGAUGCAGCGACGCCGCGUGAGGGAUGACGGCCUUCGGGUUGUAAACCUCUUUCAGCAGGGAAGAAGCGAAAGUGACGGUACCUGCAGAAGAAGCGCCGGCUAACUACGUGCCAGAGGCCGCGGCCGA